CUUCACUGGAAAGCAGCAGAGAAAAACUGGGCCUUAGCCCAGUAGAACAAUGGCUUGCAUGUUUCUCUAACAUUCCCAGUGCAUGAAUUUAACUCAGAGGAAGGAACAGACAACCAACACUCCAUACAAAGAACAAUUGGCUACCUGACGAAAAAUGUGCUGGAACGAACCAUAGACGACAUCCUGUGCAAUUACACACCCUUCGGUUAAUGUAGCACCCUCAACCAGUGGUGAAUGCGAUUGCGGAACUCAGAAAUUCCACAAACGAAGUUAUUCGUCUGUGUAGGUGACAUGACAGACAAAGCGUUAAAUUUCUGUAUGUAUAGCCUACAGGGCACUGGAUCUCUACCAGAAACAACUUGCCGGCAACCCCUAUAGCGACCCUGUUGUAAACGCAAGCAGGACGAGUAAAUAGUGACUUAAAGGGCCAAUUUGAACGUUGAAGUGCAUCCUAUUUCUGCCUGUAAUGUUUCUGACCAGAUAGCGCUUUCGGGUAUAAAAUCCGGGGGCGGUGCUUACUUCGUAAUAUUCACGCAAUUCAUAAAGGGGUGUGUUCCGAUGGACGCGACUCUAGAAACUUGUAAGGAUCACGUUAUGACUCGCCUGGCAGAACGAACUGGGAAAACAUACGAAGUUCUUCCCUCCUUUCCUCAUUGGUGUAUUUUUUUAGUUUUGCUGACAGGCUAGAGUCGCCGCCCAUCACUCUCCCCCCGCCCCAGCUAUGUCACUCCUCCCGCCCAAACUUGGAAAACGGCGCUCAUGCUUUUCUUUUAAAGGGCCAGAAGGCGACUUCCUUGUUACUCUCCUUUCCUCCGUCUGCUGAUACCCGCUGCGACCUCCUCCCAGCUUCAGAUGCUCGCAAGCACUUAAGGCUUGCUACAGCUAUGCGCUCCAUCAGGGUUGUUCCAGGAGUACUGCAGCCUCCCGUGAUCCAGUGGAGAAGCGGGGCGGGAUACUGUUUGGAGAUGGGACUUCCCAUGGGCACUGGCAGAGCCAGCUACUCGACCAAGGCUCGAGGCAGUGAGGAAUGGCCGUCACCACCAUCAACAGCAGCUUACAGAACAGUACCUGCACCACUGAGCAGCUAGCCACGCUGGCAUCCCUGCACAAAUUCUCCUAGCCCACUUUGCUUGUUUGUUUCUUUUCUUUGCACAAUAACUGGCUGACAAAUGUUAUAAUACGUAAGAGAACUGGAAGGCAACAGAGAUGUGGUGAAAAUAAAAAACUGCAUACGGAGUGAGGUAACGUGAUAGAUGUGAUUCUUGAAUUAUGACGCACUUAGGGCUUCACGCGCUGCCAAGGCUUCCGUGCCCAACAAACAUCUCUCUCUGCGCAGAGGCAGAGAAAAGAAGCCGGGUUGUCAGACUUCCAGCUGAAUACAUUAAAGGGCUGAUGCCUUUUGUUGUUU